rnacentral:tRNA from 1 species
GGAGGGAUCGCAUAGCUUGGUCGAGUGCGGCCGCCUGCUAAGCGGUUAGGCCGGGUGACCGGUCUCGUGGGUUCAAAUCCCACUCCCUCCGCCA